UUAAAAGAAAAUAAGAUAAAUUAAAUUAGAAUUACUAGUAUAUACAGCUUUUUAUACUUAGCAAGUCGAUACAAACGACAGCACCUUGUCAGCUUUGGAUUUUGACUUGGGAUGUAUCACCAUCUGUCUAUGGGAAUUGGGAGCUUGUAGCCAGGAUCCUCGGCUAAAUCUAAGCGAAGGAGAAGUCAUGGACAAUCUGAGUACGUGCCUGUCGUAUGAGAAACUGAACGGAAUGGCGACGUGGGUGGGGACCAGCGUGGCCUCCGCCUUCUUCUCGUCCCUCGAACGCUGCUCCUGCAUCAACCUCUCCACCUCCGACGACGCUGACGACUCCGAAGAGGCCCACGACCGCCCUCUCAUGUUCACCACCUAUUCCUCCAAUUUCAGCAACCGUAGUGUCAGCCAGAAAAUCGUCGUCGAUCUCCCUGUCUGACAGAGCCAGACCCAAGAUCGCGAUUCUUAGCGCUUUGUUGGUGUACGUUGCUCUCUUUUUUAUCAAAUUCGAUGUAGAUCAAAUUUGAUGGGUUUCUUGAAUUUUGAGUUUUUUUUUUUUUGGUCAUAACUCGUGUAUCUCAUAAUAUAUCGGUUUUCUUUGGAAUAUUGAAGAAUGCUUCUGAAAUAUGUGCUUGUUUCCUUGACUGAAUUGGUGGUUGAAAGAUAAUGUUUUGAGCUGGUUUUUGUGGAUUUCUGGACAUAUAUGUCAAUCACUGUAAGGUAUUGCUCCUUUCCUGGAAA